UACAGAGGGUGCGAGCGUUAAUCGGAAUUACUGGGCGUAAAGCGCGCGUAGGCGGUUUUGUAAGUCGGGUGUGAAAUCCCUGGGCUCAACCUGGGAACUGCAUUCGAGACUGCAAAACUGGAGUAUGGGAGAGGACAGCGGAAUUUCCGGUGUAGCGGUGAAAUGCGUAGAUAUCGGAAGGAACAUCAGUGGCGAAGGCGGCUGUCUGGCCCAAUACUGACGCUCAUGUGCGAAAGCGUGGGGAGCAAACAGG
rnacentral:rRNA from 1 species